ACGCUCGACACCUAUGGGAGGCAGCAGUGGGGAAUAUUGCACAAUGGGGGAAACCCUGAUGCAGCAACGCCGCGUGAAGGAAGACGGUUUUCGGAUUGUAAACUUCUGUUCUUAGUGAAGAUAGUGACGGUAGCUAAGGAGCAAGCCACGGCUAACUACGUGCCACAGCCGCGGUAAUCUGAGCGGGCUGGCAAGGC
rnacentral:rRNA from 1 species